AGUGAACGCUGGCGGCGUGCUUAACACAUGCAAGUCGAACGAGAACGGAUUAUAGCUUGCUAUAAUUGUCAGCUAAGUGGCGCACGGGUGAGUAAUGUAUAGGUAAUAUGCCUCUUACUAAGGGAUACCAAAUGGAAACGUUUGCUAAUACCUUAUACUCCUUAUUAACAUAUGUUAAUAGGGGAAAGAUUUAUUGGUAAGAGAUUAGCCUGUAUUGUAUCAGUUAGUUGGUGGGGUAAUGGCUUACCAAGACUAUGACACAUAACUGGUUUGAGAGGAUGAUCAGUCACACUGGAACUGACAACCGGUCCAGACUCCUACUGGAGGCAGCAGUGGGGAAUAUUGCACAAUGGACGAAAGUCUGAUGCAGCAACGCCGCGUGGAGGAUGACACAUUUCGGUGCGUAAACUCCUGUUAUAUGCGACGAUCAUGACGGUAUUAUACGAAUAAGCACCGGCUAACUCCGUGCCAGCAGCCGCAGUAA
rnacentral:rRNA from 1 species